UACAGAGGGUGCAAGCGUUGUUCGGAAUUAUUGGGCGUAAAGCGCGUGUAGGCGGCUUUGCAAGUCGGGUGUGAAAGCCCUCAGCUCAACUGAGGAAGUGCGCCCGAAACUGCAGAGCUUGAGUGCCGGAGAGGGUGGCGGAAUUCCCCAAGUAGAGGUGAAAUUCGUAGAUAUGGGGAGGAACACCGGUGGCGAAGGCGGCCACCUGGACGGUAACUGACGUGC
rnacentral:rRNA from 1 species